rnacentral:lncRNA from 1 species
UAAAAAGUUCAAGGAAAUCACAUCUUUCAAACACACCUGAGCUACCACUCUAUGACCCCUGUAAUCAAUUAUUGCCAUGGCUAGAUUAUGAAGUCCAGGGACAUCAGCUUCCUGGUAUGCCUUGGUGCCCUUCAAAUCAUUAUUUGCAGAAGCAUAUGUAGCCUGCUCACUCUCAGCCAACUGGGAUUCAGAAGACACUUGAGCCAAUUCCACAACACCAUUGGAUUCCCCUGCAUUCUCACCAUAGGAGAUUCCACCAUCUGCGCUAGUGAAAUUAUGGGAAGCCUUUCCAGAUGAAUUGAUUGAAAUGAUAUCUGAUGCCCGUUUCCUCGACAGAUGAUUGAGGUCUGAAUCCACAGCAAAACUGAAGAAUAUAUUGUUGUGCACAUACCUAACAUCAAAGUUAAUGACCGUUUUAGUGUUACUGAUGAGCACACUCAAAAUUCCAUAUUUGGAAUCAUGCAAAAACCAAAAGUAGGGUUAGGAAGCAUGGACACAUAGAGAUUUGAAUGCACCAUAAACUCCACUUAUGCUCAUUAUCUAAGUUCAUCUACUAAAUUGUUCCGAAACAGAAUCAGUGUGACAGAAUCAGUGUGACAAUCCUAAAGGAAAGUCAGAAAAAGAGAGAAUAAGAUCAUCUUCCUUCCUCAGUCUGUGCAUUAGGAACUUGUUAACAGAGUGUGAAAUGAUAUUAAAAGGCAGUUAAUUAAAGUACAUAUUUUUCAACCAGUACAAAGCAUCUUCCACAGUCCGUGCAUUAGGAACUUGUUAACAGAGUGUGAAAUGAUAUUAAAAGGCAGUUAAUUAAAGUACAUAUUUUUCAACCAGUACAAAGCAUCUUCCACAGUCCGUGCAUUAGGAACUUGUUAACAGAGUGUGAAAUGAUAUUAAAAGGCAGUUAAUUAAAGUACAUAUUUUUCAACCAGUACAAAGCAUCUUCCACAGUCCGUGCAUUAGGAACUUGUUAACAGAGUGUGAAAUGAUAUUAAAAGGCAGUUAAUUAAAGUACAUAUUUUUCAACCAGUACAAAGCAUCUUCCACAGUCCGUGCAUUAGGAACUUGUUAACAGAGUGUGAAAUGAUAUUAAAAGGCAGUUAAUUAAAGUACAUAUUUUUCAACCAGUACAAAGCAUCUUCCACAGUCCGUGCAUUAGGAACUUGUUAACAGAGUGUGAAAUGAUAUUAAAAGGCAGUUAAUUAAAGUACAUAUUUUUCAACCAGUACAAAGCAUCUUCCACAGUCCGUGCAUUAGGAAAUUAACUACAUAUGUAAAGUCUAAGAACCCAGGAAUUUUAUAAAAAAGGAGAUUUGAACCAUAUUUUCCAAAAAUUACAAAAAGCUGUUCGCUUAGAACAUACAAAAAUGGAACAGAAUAAGUUUCUCAAUUUAAUGUGAAAUAUCUUGAAUUUUACAUUUCACCUCACCUUUGAAUGAAAAUCUUCAUUCCAGCUAAUUUUCUUGCCAUUGUCAACAGAACCAUAAAGAAGGGAGUCUGAUUUAUCCCCUUGAAGAAUGCCAGGCAGAACACUCUACAAAAGAAUGUGCAAAGUACCCAAUACGAUGGCAGCUUAGAUAAAAUAAAAUCAAGCAACAAAAAGAUACUGAUCAAUCAAUCAAGUUAACAGGGUAAACUUCAAGGAAUACCCCUAGUAAAAAGUUCAAGGAAAUCACAUCUUUCAAACACACCUGAGCUACCACUCUAUGACCCCUGUAAUCAAUUAUUGCCAUGGCUAGAUUAUGAAGUCCAGGGACAUCAGCUUCCUGGUAUGCCUUGGUGCCCUUCAAAUCAUUAUUUGCAGAAGCAUAUGUAGCCUGCUCACUCUCAGCCAACUGGGAUUCAGAAGACACUUGAGCCAAUUCCACAACACCAUUGGAUUCCCCUGCAUUCUCACCAUAGGAGAUUCCACCAUCUGCGCUAGUGAAAUUAUGGGAAGCCUUUCCAGAUGAAUUGAUUGAAAUGAUAUCUGAUGCCCGUUUCCUCGACAGAUGAUUGAGGUCUGAAUCCACAGCAAAACUGAAGAAUAUAUUGUUGUGCACAUACCUAACAUCAAAGUUAAUGACCGUUUUAGUGUUACUGAUGAGCACACUCAAAAUUCCAUAUUUGGAAUCAUGCAAAAACCAAAAGUAGGGUUAGGAAGCAUGGACACAUAGAGAUUUGAAUGCACCAUAAACUCCACUUAUGCUCAUUAUCUAAGUUCAUCUACUAAAUUGUUCCGAAACAGAAUCAGUGUGACAGAAUCAGUGUGACAAUCCUAAAGGAAAGUCAGAAA